rnacentral:rRNA from 1 species
AGUGAACGCUGGCGGUAGGCCUAACACAUGCAAGUCGAACGGCAGCACAGUAAGAGCUUGCUCUUACGGGUGGCGAGUGGCGGACGGGUGAGGAAUACAUCGGAAUCUACUUUUUCGUGGGGGAUAACGUAGGGAAACUUACGCUAAUACCGCAUACGACCUACGGGUGAAAGCAGGGGAUCUUCGGACCUUGCGCGAUUGAAUGAGCCGAUGUCGGAUUAGCUAGUUGGCGGGGUAAAGGCCCACCAAGGCGACGAUCCGUAGCUGGUCUGAGAGGAUGAUCAGCCACACUGGAACUGAGACACGGUCCAGACUCCUGCGGGAGGCAGCAGUGGGGAAUAUUGGACAAUGGGCGCAAGCCUGAUCCAGCCAUACCGCGUGGGUGAAGAAGGCCUUCGGGUUGUAAAGCCCUUUUGUUGAGAAAGAAAAGCAGCAGGUUAAUACCCCGCUGUUCUGACGGUACCCAAAGAAUAAGCACCGGCUAACUUCGUG